AUACUUACCUGGCAGGGGAGAUACCAUGAUCACGAAGGUGGUUUUCCCAGGGCGAGGCUUAUCCAUUGCAUUCCGGAUGUGCUGACCUCUGUGAUUUCCCCAAAUGUGGGAAACUCGACUGCAUAAUUUGUGGUAGUGGGGGACUGCGUUCGCACUCUCCUC
rnacentral:snRNA from 1 species